GAACGGGUGAGUAACACGUGGGUGAUCUGCCCUGCACUCUGGGAUAAGCCUGGGAAACUGGGUCUAAUACCGGAUAGGACCAUGCUUUAGUGUGUGUGGUGGAAAGUUUUUCGGUGUAGGAUGAGCCCGCGGCCUAUCAGCUUGUUGGUGGGGUAAUGGCCUACCAAGGCGGCGACGGGUAGCCGGACUGAGAGGUUGGUCGGCCACAUUGGGACUGAGAUACGGCCCAG
rnacentral:rRNA from 1 species